rnacentral:piRNA from 1 species
UUCAUUUCCAAGACUUUGGUGUUUUA